rnacentral:tRNA from 1 species
GCGGGCGUAGUUCAGUGGUAGAACGUCAGCUUCCCAAGCUGAAUGUCGGCGGUUCGAUCCCGCUCGCCCGCUCCA